GUUAAACAGAUCGGGAGACGUCGCGCGUGAUUCCCGACGUCGGUUGAAAUUUACCUGUGACGUGUUAUAUUAUUUUUGCAUUGUAUUAUUUUAUUAUUAUAAUUUAUAUUAUUUCGCACGCGUAAUUAUCGUGAUAUAAUCGUGAUGUGCAGUGAAUUCUCAAAUCCCGAAGAAAAUUGGUGAAAAUUGCGGAUCUACACGGUGGACAUGCGGAUGCUGUACCAGAGGAUCUGGUUCGGGCCGAGCAGAAUCGGCUCGAAGAUCUGUAGCCAAUCUGUUUCAGAACGUGGCAAAUCCUGAGUUUGG